ACGGGUGAGUAACACGUGGAUAACCUACCUAUAAGACUGGGAUAACUUCGGGAAACCGGAGCUAAUACCGGAUAACAUAUUGAACCGCAUGGUUCAAUAGUGAAAGGCGGCUUUGCUGUCACUUAUAGAUGGAUCCGCGCCGUAUUAGCUAGUUGGUAAGGUAACGGCUUACCAAGGCAACGAUACGUAGCCGACCUGAGAGGGUGAUCGGCCACACUGGAACUGAGACACGGUCCAGACUCCUACGGGAGGCAGCAGUAGGGAAUCUUCCGCAAUGGGCGAAAGCCUGACGGAGCAACGCCGCGUGAGUGAUGAAGGUCUUCGGAUCGUAAAACUCUGUUAUCAGGGAAGAACAAAUGUGUAAGUAACUGUGCACAUCUUGACGGUACCUGAUCAGAAAGCCACGGCUAACUACGUGCCAGCAGCCGCGGUAAUACGUAGGUGGCAAGCGUUAUCCGGAAUUAUUGGGCGUAAAGCGCGCGUAGGCGGUUUUUUAAGUCUGAUGUGAAAGCCCACGGCUCAACCGUGGAGGGUCAUUGGAAACUGGAAAACUUGAGUGCAGAAGAGGAAAGUGGAAU
rnacentral:rRNA from 1 species